AGGUAGCAGGGAAGAAAGAAAGAAAAGGAGGACGGUUGGAAGAGAGAGAGAAAAAGAGGAAAAAGUUCUCUGGCCGAUUAUUUUUAAAACAUCCCAACUAAUCGCGGUCAGUGUAGGCAAACAAGACACCUUCCCCUGGGCGGUGAACACCUGGACUUCCCUCGGUGGGGACAGGCGCGGGUGACCACCGAGUGCUUGCUUUCAGGAGGGGGAGCGCCGUGGGGACGCCGUGCGGAUUCCUUUCCAAGGAGGCGGCCCCGGCGCACCCACUGGCCGGCCGCGGGGUCCGGGGGUGGGUGUGCGCUGGCAGCCGCCGCCCGAGGAGGGGCGGAGGGUGGCGCGGAGCCCGCGCUUUUCCGAGCAGCCAGUGAUCGGCGGCCGCAGGCGCAGCGGCGGGCAUGGCGGAGACGCGGCCGGGCCAGGCGGCCGGGCUGCAGCUCAGCUCGCUGCCCGACCACUCGCCGCUGCUGCAGCCGAGCCUGGCAGAGCUGCGGCGAAGGGCCCCGGAGGCGGGCGCCCCUCCCGCGCCGCUGCAGCUCACCGACUCCUUCCUGCUGCGGUUCCUGCGCGCCCGGGACUUCGACCUGGACCUGGCCUGGCGGCUACUAAAAAACUAUUAUAAAUGGAGAGCAGAAUGUCCAGAAAUAAGUGCAGAUCUACAUCCUAGAAGUAUCCUUGGCCUUCUGAAGGCUGGCUACCUUGGAGUCCUGAGAGCCAGAGAUCCCACUGGUAGCAAAGUUCUUAUUUACAGAAUCGCAUGCUGGGACCCAAAAGUUUUUACAGCUUAUGAUGUAUUUCGUGUAAGCCUAAUCACAUCCGAGCUUAUUGUACAGGAGGUAGAAACACAACGGAAUGGUGUCAAGGCUAUCUUUGAUCUAGAAGGCUGGCAGUUUUCUCAUGCUUUUCAAAUUACCCCAUCUGUAGCCAAGAAGAUUGCUGCUGUUCUUACAAUCAAUUUACUCUGUCAGAGAGGUGACAUAGCAAUGCUCAAGCACAUAUAUUUUGCAGCAGUGAAGCAAGGAUACCAAUCCAGGACUCAUAUCCAUUAAAAGUUCGUGGUAUCCAUUUGAUAAAUGAGCCAAUAAUUUUCGGUGCUGUCUUUUCCAUGGUUAAACCAUUCCUGACUGAAAAAAUUAAGGGACGGAUUCAUAUGCAUGGGGACAAUUACAAACAAAGCUUACUUCAGCAUUUCCCAGACAUUCUUCCUCUGGAAUAUGGUGGUGAAGAAUUCUCCAUGGAGGACAUAUGUCAGGAGUGGACAAAUUUUAUAAUGAAAUCUGAAAAUUAUCUCAGCAGCAUUUCACAGACCAUUCAGUGAGAAGUUAUUUAAUGCAAAUGGCUUCCUAAUUAAAAAUACAUGCAGGAGAUCCUACUUGGUUACAUGAAUGAAAGAAAAAAUCUUAAACCAAUAAUGCUUGUCGAUUUUUAAAAAUAUAAAUAUCCUCUGACUUGAGUGACAUGAGUAUUUAGGAACUUCUUUACUUUGUAAAUGCAUUUUCUUUACUUGGAAGCAAUUAAAUGUUAGUUUACCUUCAAAGCAUAGAAGAAAUUCCUGAUUUUUGCACUUGAAAGAAGUUAUCUUUAAAGUAGCUGUUCAGGUGCACCUUUGUAUGUCACUGGAAAGUUUUCAUUUUAACCAGGCUCUCUGAUUACAUUGAUUUAGAAAUGUAUAAGUAACCCAUUGAAAAGAAAUAUUAGCACAAGUUAAUGACAAAAAUCUAUUAACACCCAUUUGAGUGGGUGUCAGAAUAAAUUAUAAUUCAGCUUAGAAUCUGAAUACAGAUUUACAGAGUUAUUUCCACAGAAAGAUAAUUCAUCUCAGGGAAAUUCUAUUUUAGGAUAUUUGCACAAUAGAAACUUUUAAAGAUCUAUAGACCGUAAACUAUUACAUGUAGCAUCGAUAGGCCUCUUUGAAAUUAUACUUGAUAACCAAAAAUAACUUAGAAAAUAUUUCAGGUGGAGCUUCUUAAUACUGUUUCUGCAUUUUCAAAGAAAUCCAGAAUGUCAUUUUGACUUCAUUGUUUGUUUUUUUGUGUCAUGACCACAUAGAGAUUUAGAGAUGGAAUAAUAUUUACUUGUCAUAUACAUGUACUGUGUUUUUAACUGAAUAACCCAACAACACAAGGGAAAGGAAAUGUUUACAUUUUUAAAAUCACUGUCAAUUACACAUGGAAGUUUUCAUGAAAUAAUUUGAGUUGUACUAUUACAUCAGAGUAUUCCAGCCAAAUCCUAAAAUUCAUAUUUAACAAAACACGUAGUUAAAAUGGGCUGUUUACUGUAGCUCCUAUCAAAGGACAUUUCAUUUAUUAAGAAAAAUAUGUCACUACAGCUUUCAAUUUAUGACAAUUUUUAUAGUUUUUAAAUUUUAUUUUUAAACUUGAACAUGAGAGAACACAGCACAAAGUUUGUUAGACAUUUGGUUAGCUUCUUUGGGUUUCAAAAAUAAUCAUGCAAGAGUAUUUUGUGAAAGGAUAUGUGGAGAUUGGUUUUCAUUAUAGGGAAAUUAUUCUAAUUAGGUGAGCUGAUAAUUCUGAUUCUCUGUACAUGUAUCUUUGAAAACAUUGAGAGCGAUUGUGAAUUUAGAGAACAUACUUGAUUUUGAUUUAGUAUUAUGAAGCUAACUUUACAUUUUAAUUCUUACUAAAAAAUUAGAUUGUGCCUGGUUUCUAAAGAAAGUUGAACUAUUCUUUACAAAGUCAUACAAUUUGAAAUUGCGUAAUUAAAAAUGACAGUAGAAUAAAACCAUUGGAAAAUAAUGAAGAAUAACAACAAAAAACUGUGGUUUACCCAACUUUCAUUCCUAGAAGAAGACUUAUAUCACAAGAUUCCACUUCAUUUACAUUUGACUACUUAAAGCAUUUUCUUAGGACACUGUGAAGGAACGAGCCCUUUAACACAAGGAUAAAGGAUGAUUUUUUAAAUGAAUUUAAACUGAUUCAUUGGUGAUGUUAUUAACAGAAAAUAGAAUGAUAAUAAAUCAGUCAGUAGAAGUUCAUUCUGGGACUUUGAAAUUUUUAUAAAAUGCAACAAUUCACAGAAGAACAUUGAAAGAACAAUGUGAAGUGAGUAGGCAAUUUGAUAACAAGGCAAGAUAACUAUCAAAUUAUCUACAUUACCUUACUGUAAUUGCAGCAGAAGUGCCUUUUAAAAGAUUAACGUGCUUAUUGUGUUACUGAAUUGCAUGAUAAUUUGUUUUAAUUAUUGUUAAAAGAAAAUAAAGAUCUUUCACAUGA